rnacentral:lncRNA from 1 species
AAAUGUUUGCAGUUGGAAACAAAUGAGCUCCAUGCUAGCCUUACUGUGUGCAAUGGAAAACACUUGCAAACAAAGAAAAAAUAACUCAUUAAGUGGUGAACCUCUGACCCUGGAUCAAAGUCACUGACCUGAUGCUACAGUAGCCUUUGCCUUUACUGUGGAGGCUGUGAGCCGAGUGAGAACUGGCCCACAACUGCCUCCACAGCUCCUGUCACUGAGGCUUUAUAUGGCUGCCUGCAGCUGUGGAGAGCUUGAUGCCCCUGUGAGGUCAUGUGAUGCUUGAAUUAAAAAUUUGUACAAACAAAAGAGAAAAGGAUCUGCAUCUGCUGUUGGCUGCCGGUGAGGUCCCAACCCUGCAAGGUGCCAGCCAUGCUGGUAGGGGAUUGAUAAGAAGACUGGGGCGUCCUGGGAACUGAGGAUUUCAAGGUCAAUUGGUCAUGUCUGCUGUCUGGAACAGCCCCAGCAUUGCCAUUAUCUAUCCCCCGAUGAACCUGUUGGUGGCUGCAGCUACCGGAGGUUGGGAGCUGGGGCAUCCAAGCGGGAUCAAGGGGAGCCAACAGAGACAAAGACCCUCAUUGUUCACAUCUCAGCCUUGGAUUCAUCUUACGCAUCUUAUUGGUUAUGUUGUUAACAUAAGUAACUAG